CAGGUGGUAAUUUAAAGAGAAUAAUAGUUUUGGGGAUUAUAAGUGGGUUAAUAACCUUUGCUUGA
rnacentral:tRNA from 1 species